rnacentral:rRNA from 2 species
UGGGGUAACGGCUCACCUAGGCGACGAUCCCUAGCUGGUCUGAGAGGAUGACCAGCCACACUGGAACUGAGACACGGUCCAGACUCCUACGGGAGGCAGCAGUGGGGAAUAUUGCACAAUGGGCGCAAGCCUGAUGCAGCCAUGCCGCGUGUAUGAAGAAGGCCUUCGGGUUGUAAAGUACUUUCAGCGGGGAGGAAGGGAGUAAAGUUAAUACCUUUGCUCAUUGACGUUACCCGCAGAAGAAGCACCGGCUAACUCCGUGCCAGCAGCCGCGGUAAUACGGAGGGUGCAAGCGUUAAUCGGAAUUACUGGGCGUAAAGCGCACGCAGGCGGUUUGUUAAGUCAGAUGUGAAAUCCCCGGGCUCAACCUGGGAACUGCAUCUGAUACUGGCAAGCUUGAGUCUCGUAGAGGGGGGUAGAAUUCCAGGUGUAGCGGUGAAAUGCGUAGAGAUCUGGAGGAAUACCGGUGGCGAAGGCGGCCCCCUGGACGAAGACUGACGCUCAGGUGCGAAAGCGUGGGGAGCAAACAGGAUU